UUGCACGCUGGCGGCAGGCUUAACACAUGCAAGUCGAGCGGAGAUGAGGUGCUUGCACCUUAUCUUAGCGGCGGACGGGUGAGUAAUGCUUAGGAAUCUGCCAUUUAGUGGGGGACAACAUUCCGAAAGGAAUGCUAAUACCGCAUACGUCCUACGGGAGAAAGCAGGGGAUCUUCGGACCUUGCGCUAAAUGAUGAGCCUAAGUCGGAUUAGCUAGUUGGUGGGGUAAAGGCCUACCAAGGCGACGAUCUGUAGCGGGUCUGAGAGGAUGAUCCGCCACACUGGGACUGAGACACGGCCCAGACUCCUACGGGAGGCAGCAGUGGGGAAUAUUGGACAAUGGGGGGAACCCUGAUCCAGCCAUGCCGCGUGUGUGAAGAAGGCCUUAUGGUUGUAAAGCACUUUAAGCGAGGAGGAGGCUACUGAGACUAAUACUCUUGGAUAGUGGACGUUACUCGCAGAAUAAGCACCGGCUAACUCUGUG
rnacentral:rRNA from 1 species